rnacentral:rRNA from 1 species
UACGAGGGGGGCGAGCGUUGUUCGGAAUUAUUGGGCGUAAAGGGUGCGUAGGCGGUUUGGUAAGUCUUAUGUGAAAUCUACAGGCUCAACUUGUAGUCUGCAUGAGAAACUGCCGGGCUUGAGUAUGGGAGAGGUGAGUGGAAUUCCUGGUGUAGCGGUGAAAUGCGUAGAUAUCAGGAGGAACACCUGUGGCGAAAGCGGCUCACUGGACCACAACUGACGCUGAUGCACGAAAGCUAGGGGAGCAAACAGG